AGUGAACGCUGGCGGUAGGCCUAACACAUGCAAGUCGAACGGCAGCACAGUAAGAGCUUGCUCUUACGGGUGGCGAGUGGCGGACGGGUGAGGAAUACAUCGGAAUCUACUUUUUCGUGGGGGAUAACGUAGGGAAACUUACGCUAAUACCGCAUACGACCUACGGGUGAAAGCAGGGGAUCUUCGGACCUUGCGCGAUUGAAUGAGCCGAUGUCGGAUUAGCUAGUUGGCGGGGUAAAGGCCCACCAAGGCGACGAUCCGUAGCUGGUCUGAGAGGAUGAUGCGCGCCUGUGGAGGUGAGCGGCGGCCCAGGGACCGAGAGGAGGCCGAGGUGGGGAAGAUUGGCAGAAGGGCGGAAGCCUGCACCAGCGAUGGAGGCUGGAUGAAGAAGGGCCUCGGGUUGUAAAACGCUUUUGUGGGUAUAGAAAGGUAGCAGGUUAAUCCAAGGUUGUUGUGACGGUAGCCGGAAAAUAAGCACCGGCUAACUUCGU
rnacentral:rRNA from 1 species